rnacentral:misc_RNA from 1 species
GUGAAUCAUCGAAUCUUUGAACGCAAAUUGCACUCUCCUCGGAGAGUAUGCCUGUUUGAGGGUCAGCCUAUAAAAAAUCGACAUCGUUGCUGUUUCGCGGUGGCGUUCGUCGGAAAUUGGGUCAUCUUAAAUCUUUUGUUUUUAGGGGACUUAAAAUUUUCCUUUUGUUUCAUGGAACGUUUCUAAGAUUUAUUUCUUUCCACGUUUAGGUUAUCGAUUUUUUUUGGACU